GGGUUGUGAGGUUAAGCGACUAAGCGUACACGGUGGAUGCCCUGGCAGUCAGAGGCGAUGAAGGGCGUGCUAAUCUGCGAUAAGCGUCGGUAAGGUGAUAUGAACCGUUAUAACCGGCGAUACCCGAAUGGGGAAACCCAGUGUGAUUCGUCACACUAUCAUUAACUGAAUCCAUAGGUUAAUGAGGCGAACCGGGGGAACUGAAACAUCUAAGUACCCCGAGGAAAAGAAAUCAACCGAGAUUCCCCCAGUAGCGGCGAGCGAACGGGGAGGAGCCCAGAGCCUGAAUCAGCAUGUGUGUUAGUGGAAGCGUCUGGAAAGGCGCGCGAUACAGGGUGACAGCCCCGUACACAAAAGCGCAUGUGCUGUGAGCUCGAUGAGUAGGGCGGGACACGUGGUAUCCUGUCUGAAUAUGGGGGGACCAUCCUCCAAGGCUAAAUACUCCUGACUGACCGAUAGUGAACCAGUACCGUGAGGGAAAGGCGAAAAGAACCCCGGCGAGGGGAGUGAAAAAGAACCUGAAACCGUGUACGUACAAGCAGUGGGAGCACCCUUUGGGGUGUGACUGCGUACCUUUUGUAUAAUGGGUCAGCGACUUAUAUUCUGUAGCAAGGUUAACCGAAUAGGGGAGCCGCAGGGAAACCGAGUCUUAAUUGGGCGUUAAGUUGCAGGGUAUAGACCCGAAACCCGGUGAUCUAGCCAUGGGCAGGUUGAAGGUUGGGUAACACUAACUGGAGGACCGAACCGACUAAUGUUGAAAAAUUAGCGGAUGACCUGUGGCUGGGGGUGAAAGGCCAAUCAAACCGGGAGAUAGCUGGUUCUCCCCGAAAGCUAUUUAGGUAGCGCCUCGUGAAUUCAUCUCCGGGGGUAGAGCACUGUUUCGGCUAGGGGGCCAUCCCGGCUUACCAACCCGAUGCAAACUGCGAAUACCGGAGAAUGUUAUCACGGGAGACACACGGCGGGUGCUAACGUCCGUCGUGAAGAGGGAAACAACCCAGACCGCCAGCUAAGGUCCCAAAGUCAUGGUUAAGUGGGAAACGAUGUGGGAAGGCCCAGACAGCCAGGAUGUUGGCUUAGAAGCAGCCAUCAUUUAAAGAAAGCGUAAUAGCUCACUGGUCGAGUCGGCCUGCGCGGAAGAUGUAACGGGGCUAAACCAUGCACCGAAGCUGCGGCAGCGACGCUUAUGCGUUGUUGGGUAGGGGAGCGUUCUGUAAGCCUGCGAAGGUGGCCUGUGAGGGUUGCUGGAGGUAUCAGAAGUGCGAAUGCUGACAUAAGUAACGAUAAAGCGGGUGAAAAGCCCGCUCGCCGGAAGACCAAGGGUUCCUGUCCAACGUUAAUCGGGGCAGGGUGAGUCGACCCCUAAGGCGAGGCCGAAAGGCGUAGUCGAUGGGAAACGGGUUAAUAUUCCCGUACUUGGUGUUACUGCGAAGGGGGGACGGAGAAGGCUAUGUUGGCCGGGCGACGGUUGUCCCGGUUUAAGCGUGUAGGUGUGUGUUCCAGGUAAAUCCGGUUCACUUUAACACUGAGGCGUGAUGACGAGGCACUACGGUGCUGAAGCAACAAAUGCCCUGCUUCCAGGAAAAGCCUCUAAGCAUCAGGUAACAUCAAAUCGUACCCCAAACCGACACAGGUGGUCAGGUAGAGAAUACCAAGGCGCUUGAGAGAACUCGGGUGAAGGAACUAGGCAAAAUGGUGCCGUAACUUCGGGAGAAGGCACGCUGACAUGUAGGUGAAGUGAUUUACUCAUGGAGCUGAAGUCAGUCGAAGAUACCAGCUGGCUGCAACUGUUUAUUAAAAACACAGCACUGUGCAAACACGAAAGUGGACGUAUACGGUGUGACGCCUGCCCGGUGCCGGAAGGUUAAUUGAUGGGGUCAGCGCAAGCGAAGCUCCUGAUCGAAGCCCCGGUAAACGGCGGCCGUAACUAUAACGGUCCUAAGGUAGCGAAAUUCCUUGUCGGGUAAGUUCCGACCUGCACGAAUGGCGUAAUGAUGGCCAGGCUGUCUCCACCCGAGACUCAGUGAAAUUGAACUCGCUGUGAAGAUGCAGUGUACCCGCGGCAAGACGGAAAGACCCCGUGAACCUUUACUAUAGCUUGACACUGAACAUUGAGCCUUGAUGUGUAGGAUAGGUGGGAGGCUUUGAAGUGUGGACGCCAGUCUGCAUGGAGCCGACCUUGAAAUACCACCCUUUAAUGUUUGAUGUUCUAACGUGGACCCGUGAUCCGGGUUGCGGACAGUGUCUGGUGGGUAGUUUGACUGGGGCGGUCUCCUCCUAAAGAGUAACGGAGGAGCACGAAGGUUGGCUAAUCCUGGUCGGACAUCAGGAGGUUAGUGCAAUGGCAUAAGCCAGCUUGACUGCGAGCGUGACGGCGCGAGCAGGUGCGAAAGCAGGUCAUAGUGAUCCGGUGGUUCUGAAUGGAAGGGCCAUCGCUCAACGGAUAAAAGGUACUCCGGGGAUAACAGGCUGAUACCGCCCAAGAGUUCAUAUCGACGGCGGUGUUUGGCACCUCGAUGUCGGCUCAUCACAUCCUGGGGCUGAAGUAGGUCCCAAGGGUAUGGCUGUUCGCCAUUUAAAGUGGUACGCGAGCUGGGUUUAGAACGUCGUGAGACAGUUCGGUCCCUAUCUGCCGUGGGCGCUGGAGAACUGAGGGGGGCUGCUCCUAGUACGAGAGGACCGGAGUGGACGCAUCACUGGUGUUCGGGUUGUCAUGCCAAUGGCACUGCCCGGUAGCUAAAUGCGGAAGAGAUAAGUGCUGAAAGCAUCUAAGCACGAAACUUGCCCCGAGAUGAGUUCUCCCUGAGACUUAGAGUCUCCUGAAGGAACGUUGAAGACGACGACGUUGAUAGGCCGGGUGUGUAAGCGCAGCGAUGCGUUGAGCUAACCGGUACUAAUGAACCGUGAGGCUUAACCUUACAACGCCGAAG
rnacentral:rRNA from 1 species